UAGAGUUUGAUCAUGGCUCAGGAUGAACGCUAGCGGCAGACUUAAUACAUGUGAGUCGAGGGGCAGCGGAUCCUUCCGAGGAUGCCGGCGACCGGCGAACGGGUGAGUAACACGUAUGGAACCUACCCUUAACUGGGGAAUAGCCUUGAGAAAUCGAGGGUAAUACCCCAUAUUAUCACAAGAGGACAUCUUCUUGUAAUGAAAGCUCCGGCGGUUAAGGAUGGUCAUGCGGUCCAUUAGCUUGUUGGUGAGGUAACUGCUCACCAAGGCCGCGAUGGAUAGCUGAUCUGAGAGGAUGAUCAGCCACAUUGGCACUGAGACACGGGCCAAACUCCUACGGGAGGCAGCAGUAGGGAAUCUUGGUCAAUUGGCGAAAGCCAGAACCAGUCAUGCCGCGUGCAGGAUGAAGGCCCUAAGGGUCGUAAACUGCUUUUAUUCGGGAAGAAAAAGUCUGUUUCCACAGACCUUGACGGUACCGAUUGAAUAAGGACCGGCCAACUCCGUGCCAGCAGCCGCGGUAAUACGGAGGGUCCAAGCGUUAUCCGGAUUCACUGGGUUUAAAGGGUGCGCAGGCGGCUAAGUAAGUCAGUGGUGAAAGCCUUCGGCUCAACCGGAGAAUUGCCAUUGAAACUACUUAGCUUGAGUGCAGUAGAGGUAGGCGGAAUGUAGCAUGUAGCGGUGAAAUGCAUAGAUAUGCUACAGAACACCGAUAGCGAAAGCAGCUUACCACAUUGCAACUGACGCUGAGGCACGAAAGCAUGGGUAGCAAACAGGAUUAGAUACCCUGGUAGUCCAUGCCGUAAACUUUGAACACUCGGAGUUUGUCGCCUAGCGAUAAGCUCCCUAGCGAAAGCGUUAAGUGUUCCACCUGGGGAGUACGGCCGCAAGGCUAAAACUCAAAGGAAUUGACGGGGGCCCCGCACAAGCG
rnacentral:rRNA from 1 species